rnacentral:rRNA from 1 species
AGACGUCUACAUUAGAUACCCGUGUAGUCCUAGCCGUAAACGAUACUCGCUAGGUGUCGGCCACGGUGCGACCGUUGUCGGUGCCGUAGGGAAGCCGUGAAGCGAGCCACCUGGGAAGUACGCCCGCAAGGCUGAAACUUAAAGGAAUUGGCGGGGGAGCACAACAACGGGUGGAGCUUGCGGUUUAAUUGGAUUCAACGCCGGAAAUCUUACCGGGACCGACAGCAACAUGAAGGCCAAGCUGAAGACUUUGCCGGAUUAGCUG